GGUCAAGUAAUGAAGUGCACAUGGUGGAUGCCUUGGCAGUCAGAGGCGAAGAAAGACGUGAUAGCCUGCGAUAAGCGUCGGUGAGGUGGCAAUAUCCUGUGACCCGGCGAUUUCUGAAUGGGGAAACCCAACCAACAUAAGUUGGUUAUUACACAGUUUACUGUGUAAGGCAAACCGGGAGAAGUGAAACAUCUCAGUACCCCGAGGAAAAGACAUCAAAUGAGAUUCCGUAAGUAGCGGCGAGCGAACACGGAGGAGCCGAUCAAUUUUACAGUAGCAAAAUGGCGUGGGAAAGCCAACCAUAGUAGGUGAUAGUCCUGUAUGCGAAACUGUUUAAGCGACAUAUUAAGUAGGGCGGAACACGAGAAAUUCUGUCUGAAGAUGGGGGGACCAUCCUCCAAGGCUAAAUACUCCUGACUGACCGAUAGUGAACCAGUACCGUGAGGGAAAGGCGAAAAGAACCCCUGUUAGGGGAGUGAAAUAGAACCUGAAACCGUGUGCAUACAAGCAGUCGGAGCGGACUUGUUCCGUGACGGCGUACCUUUUGUAUAAUGGGUCAGCGACUUAUAUUCUGUAGCAAGGUUAACCGAAUAGGGGAGCCGUAGGGAAACCGAGUCUUAAUAGGGCGAAUGAGUUGCAGGGUAUAGACCCGAAACCGAGUGAUCUAUCCAUGAGCAGGUUGAAAGUGCCGUAACAGGCACCGGAGGACCGAACCCACUGUCGUUGAAAAGCCAGGGGAUGACUUGUGGAUAGGGGUGAAAGGCUAAUCAAACUCGGUGAUAGCUGGUUCUCCCCGAAAGCUAUUUAGGUAGCGCCUCGGACGAACACCAUUGGGGGUAGAGCACUGUUUCGGCUAGGGGGUCACACCGACUUACCAAACCGAUGCAAACUCCGAAUACCGAUGAGUGAUAUCCGGGAGACAGACGGCGGGUGCUAACGUCCGUCGUCAAGAGGGAAACAACCCAGACCGCCAGCUAAGGCCCCAAAUUCCUAGUUAAGUGGGAAACGAUGUGGGAAGGCACAGACAGCUAGGAGGUUGGCUUAGAAGCAGCCACCCUUUAAAGAAAGCGUAAUAGCUCACUAGUCGAGUCGGCCUGCGCGGAAGAUGUAACGGGGCUCAAACUAGGAGCCGAAGCUGCGGAUUUAAUUGUUUCAAUUAAGUGGUAGGGGAGCGUUGUGUAAGCCUGUGAAGGUGCACUGUAAGGUGUGCUGGAGGUAUCACAAGAGCGAAUGCUGACGUGAGUAACGACAAAACGGGUGAAAAGCCCGUUCGCCGGAAGACCAAGGGUUCCAGUCCAACGUUAAUCGGGGCUGGGUGAGUCGACCCCUAAGGCGAGGCCGAAAGGCGUAGUCGAUGGGAAAUCGGUUAAUAUUCCGAUACUUGUUUAUGAUGCGAUGGAGGGACGGAGAAGGUUAUGCCAGCCUGGCGAUGGUUGUCCAGGUGGAAGGAUGUAGUUAGACUGAGUAGGCAAAUCCGCUCGGUUAUUAAUGAGAUCUGAUAGCAAGCCAGUUUACUGGCGAAGUGGCAAAUACCCUGCUUCCAGGAAAAGCUUCUAAGCGAUAGUCAUAAACGAAUCGUACCCGAAACCGACACAGGUGGUCAGGUAGAGAAUACCAAGGCGCUUGAGAGAACUCUGCUGAAGGAACUAGGCAAAAUGGUACCGUAACUUCGGGAGAAGGUACGCUGCCGAUGGUGAUGAAACUUGCUUUCUGAGCUGUUGGCAGUCGCAGAUACCAGGCUGCUGCAACUGUUUAUUAAAAACACAGCACUCUGCAAACACGAAAGUGGACGUAUAGGGUGUGAUGCCUGCCCGGUGCUGGAAGGUUAAUUGAUGGGGUUAGCGUAAGCGAAGCUCUUGAUCGAAGCCCCAGUAAACGGCGGCCGUAACUAUAACGGUCCUAAGGUAGCGAAAUUCCUUGUCGGGUAAGUUCCGACCUGCACGAAUGGCAUAAUGAUGGCAGCGCUGUCUCCAGCAGAGACUCAGUGAAAUCGAAAUCGCAGUGAAGAUGCUGUGUACCCGCGGCUAGACGGAAAGACCCCGUGAACCUUUACUACAGCUUUACAUUGAACUUUGACCUAACUUGUGUAGGAUAGGUGGGAGGCUUUGAAGCAGAUACGCCAGUAUUUGUGGAGCCAACCUUGAAAUACCACCCUGGUUAUGUUGGGGUUCUAACUUAGAUAUAACAGUAUCAAGGACAAUGUAUGGUGGGUAGUUUGACUGGGGCGGUCUCCUCCUAAAGAGUAACGGAGGAGUACGAAGGUGCGCUCAGAACGGUCGGAAAUCGUUCAAAGAGUAUAAAGGCAAAAGCGCGCUUAACUGCGAGACCCACAAGUCGAGCAGGUACGAAAGUAGGUCUUAGUGAUCCGGUGGUUCUGUAUGGAAGGGCCAUCGCUCAACGGAUAAAAGGUACUCUGGGGAUAACAGGCUGAUACCGCCCAAGAGUUCAUAUCGACGGCGGUGUUUGGCACCUCGAUGUCGGCUCAUCUCAUCCUGGGGCUGAAGCAGGUCCCAAGGGUAUGGCUGUUCGCCAUUUAAAGAGGUACGCGAGCUGGGUUUAGAACGUCGUGAGACAGUUCGGUCCCUAUCUACCGUGGGCGUUGGAAAUUUGAGAGGAUCUGCUCCUAGUACGAGAGGACCAGAGUGGACGAACCUCUGGUGUUUCGGUUGUCACGCCAGUGGCAUUGCCGAGUAGCUACGUUCGGAUGGGAUAACCGCUGAAAGCAUCUAAGCGGGAAGCCCACCUCAAGAUGAGAUUUCCCUAAAGAGCCGUUGUAGACUACGACGUUGAUAGGUUGGGUGUGGAAGUGUAGUGAUACAUGUAGCUAACCAAUACUAAUUGCUCGUUUGGCUUGACCAU
rnacentral:rRNA from 1 species